rnacentral:rRNA from 1 species
AGCCGCGGUAACACGUAGGGGGCGAGCGUUGUCCGGAAUCACUGGGCGUAAAGCGCGCGCAGGCGGACAUUUAAGUCAGAUGUGAAACCUCUGGGCUUAACCUAGAGCUUGCAUCUGAUACUGGAUGUCUUGAGGACAGGAGAGGGGAGUGGAAUUCCUAGUGUAGCGGUGAAAUGCGUAGAUAUUAGGAGGAACACCAGUGGCGAAGGCGACUCUCUGGCCUGUAACUGACGCUGAGGCGCGAAAGCGUGGGUAGCAAACAGGAUUAGAUACCCUGGUAGUCCACGCUGUAAACGAUGGGUACUAGGUGUCGGGGGUUCACCCCUUCGGUGCCGGAGUUAACGCAUUAAGUACCCCGCCUGGGGACUACGGUCGCAAGACUGAAACUCAAAGGAAUUGACGGGGGCCCGCACAAGCGGUGGAGCAUGUGGUUUAAUUCGACGCAACGCGAAGAACCUUACCAAGACUUGACAUCCCUCUGACCAGCUUUUAAUCGAGCUUUCUCUUCGGAGCAGAGGAGACAGGUGGUGCAUGGCC